rnacentral:rRNA from 1 species
AUUGAACGCUGGCGGCAUGCUUUACACAUGCAAGUCGAGCGGCAGCGCGGGGGCAACCCUGGCGGCGAGCGGCGAACGGGUGAGUAAUGCAUCGGAACGUAUCCUCGAGUGGGGGAUAACCCAGCGAAAGUUGGGCUAAUACCGCAUGAGCUCUGAGGAGGAAAGCGGGGGACCUGCGAGGGCCUCGCGCUGGAGGAGCGGCCGAUGUCCGAUUAGCUAGUUGGUGGGGUAAAGGCUUACCAAGGCGACGAUCGGUAGCUGGUCUGAGAGGAUGAGCAGCCACACUGGGACUGAGACACGGCCCAGACUCCUACGGGAGGCAGCAGUGGGGAAUUUUGGACAAUGGGGGCAACCCUGAUCCAGCCAUGCCGCGUGAGUGAAGAAGGCCUUCGGGUUGUAAAGCUCUUUCGGACGGAACGAAAUGGGCGGGACUAAUACUCCUGUCUGAUGACGGUACCGUAAGAAGAAGCACCGGCUAACUACGUG